rnacentral:piRNA from 1 species
UAACAGGCUUUAGGCUUUGUCUUUGGUUC